GAUGAACGCUAGCGGCAGGCUUAACACAUGCAAGUCGAGGGGUAUAGGUUUUCGGACCUAGAGACCGGCGCACGGGUGCGUAACGCGUAUGCAAUCUACCUUUCACAGAGGGAUAGCCCAGAGAAAUUUGGAUUAAUACCUCAUAGUAUUAUAGAAUGGCAUCAUUUUAUAAUUAAAGUCACAACGGUGAAAGAUGAGCAUGCGUCCCAUUAGCUAGUUGGUAUGGUAACGGCAUACCAAGGCAACGAUGGGUAGGGGUCCUGAGAGGGAGAGUCCCCCAACGACUGGUACUGAGACACGGACCAGACUCCUACGGGAGGCAGCAGUGAGGAAUAUUGGUCAAUGGGCGCAAGCCUGAACCAGCCAUGCCGCGUGCAGGAUGACGGUCCUAUGGAUUGUAAACUGCUUUUGCACAGGAAGAAACAACGCUACGUGUAGCGUCUUGACGGUACUGUGAGAAUAAGGAUCGGCUAACUCCGUGCC
rnacentral:rRNA from 1 species